UCACGCAAGCGAGCACGCAAGCUCGAUUGGGGCGUCGCGAAGGCGUCGCUGGCCGUCGCGUCCCUCGAAGAACAGGAAGGCGCCGUUCGAACACGCCGUGCUGCGAGCUGCCGUAGGCCCAAAGAUACAUCUUUGUCUUGUCGCCGCCUGCGAGCGAGCGCGCAAGCGUGCGGUCGUCGCCUCUCUCUCUCGCU
rnacentral:misc_RNA from 1 species